rnacentral:rRNA from 1 species
GUGUCAGCCGCCGCGGUAAUACGGAGGGUGCGAGCGUUGUUCGGAUUUAUUGGGCGUAAAGCGCGUGUAGGCGGCUUCUUAAGUCUGAUGUGAAAGCCCUGGGCUCAACCCGGGAAGUGCAUUGGAAACUGGGAAACUUGAAUACGGGAGAGGGUAGUGGAAUUCCUGGUGUAGGAGUGAAAUCCGUAGAUAUCAGGAGGAACACCGGUGGCGAAGGCGGCUACCUGGACCGAUAUUGACGCUGAGACGCGAAAGCGUGGGGAGCAAACAGGAUUAGAAACCCUCGUAGUCC